AAGUCGUAACAAGGUUUCCGUAGGUGAACCUGCGGAAGGAUCAUUCCAACAGGAUACCCUCACCGGGUAUUACCCCACCCGUGUCUAUUUACUCUUGUUGCUUUGGCAGGCCGUGGUUACCCACUGCAGGCUCUGCCUGCAUGUGCCUGCCAGAGGACCAAACUCUGAAUUUUGAGUGAUGUUCUGAGUACUAUAUAAUAGGUUAAAAACC
rnacentral:misc_RNA from 1 species